GAAAACAUCAUGGUGGACGACUAAUGACCUAUCAUGUGAGUUCAUAACAAUUAUACGUAGCAUAGAUUAAAAGAAUAAUAACAAUAGCAGGAAAUGAGUAUGGAAUGAACGUAAGCACUACCUUAGACAGUUGGCAUAAAGAAACAUAAACAUGGUGAGAUUUUAUGCAUAAGCUAACAAUUUUUUAAGGCCUCUGAUAGAAAAGAAGAGACAUUACAUUGGGGAAUAAAAUAGGGUUUCUAAUAUAACAACAACUACAACAACAACAAGCUGCAAUGUUCCAACUACUUGGAGUGGGACAAUGUAUCUUUUCCUGUCAUUGAGCUCUAAGCAAUGCAAUAUCUCUAGUUAAAUUAAGAGAACUCAACCAUCUUGUUAUAGUUCUAAAGUGCCAAGGUCCCUCUUCCACUUUAAUCACCCCACCUUUACUCAAUGAACAAUGUCUUCAUCAAUACUUCUUGCUACUGAUCUACUUUAUAAACAAUCGUAGUGACGUACAUAUAUUUUAUCAAAUCAAAAUAAUUAUUGUUUAAUCCUCUCUUUUCUAAAAUGUGUCAUCACAAAUCUCUAGAAAGUCGAUCAUACUUUGUUUUUGAGUCAAUGAAAACCAUGUAAAAAUCUUUCUUCUCUCUAUAUAGUUUUAGUUGUCACAAUAAACAAAUAGCAUUCAAGAUUGAUCUUCCGCGCAUAAAAUCAAAUUAAUUCUAAAAAUAGCCAUUCACAUCUUAUUUUUACUGAAUCACCCUUUUUAAGAGUUCCAUGAUAUGACACAAUAGUUUGAUCUCUCUAUGGUUAGAGGAGUUUAAAAUCUCUCCUGUUCAUGUAAAUUAGUAAUAAAAAGCUCUUUCUCAAUACAUUAUACACCCUUUUUAUCCUCAAUUUUUUGUUAAAAAAAUUAGUCAACAAUGUACCUUUUGAUCUCCUAAACUAUUCCACAUCCUAAUAGGGAUAUCAUCAUAUUUAUGCUCUUACCUAAUUUGCUAACUUUAAAAUUUUCUUCAGUUAAUGUUUCUAAUUAUACAAAUAAAUCUAUAAUUUCUAAACUUCUAGUUCAACAAUAUACCUUUUGAUCUCCUAAACUCUUCCACACCCUAAUAGGGUAACAAUCGUAUCUACACUCUU
rnacentral:lncRNA from 1 species